UACGAAGGGGGCUAGCGUUGUUCGGAAUUACUGGGCGUAAAGGGCGCGUAGGCGGCGUGUCAAGUCAGGCGUGAAAGCCCCGGGCUCAACCUGGGAAUUGCAUUCGAGACUGAAUAGCUAGGGUGCGGUAGAGGGAAGCGGAAUUUCCGGUGUAGCGGUGAAAUGCGUAGAUAUCGGAAGGAACAUCAGUGGCGAAAGCGGCUUCCUGGACCAGCACCGACGUUCAGGCACGAAAGCGUGGGGAGCAAACAGG
rnacentral:rRNA from 1 species